UGAUCAGCCAUGCCGCGUGCAGGAAGACUGCCCUAUGGGUUGUAAACUGCUUUUAUACAGGAAGAAUAAGCCUUACGUGUAAGGUGAUGACGGUACUGUAAGAAUAAGGACCGGCUAACUCCGUGCCAGCAGCCGCGGUAAUACGGAGGGUCCGAGCGUUAUCCGGAAUUAUUGGGUUUAAAGGGUCCGUAGGCGGAUGAUUAAGUCAGGGGUGAAAGUUUGCAGCUCAACUGUAAAAUUGCCUUUGAUACUGGUCAUCUUGAGUUGUAUUGAAGUAGGCGGAAUAUGUAGUGUAGCGGUGAAAUGCAUAGAUAUUACAUAGAACACCAAUUGCGAAGGCAGCUUACUAAGUACUAACUGACGCUGAUGGACGAAAGCGUGGGUAGCGAACAGGAUUAGAUACCCUGGUAGUCCACGCCGUAAACGAUGGAUACUAGCUGUUCGGGACCUUGAGUUCUGAGCGGCUAAGCGAAAGUGAUAAGUAUCCCACCUGGGGAGUACGUUCGCAAGAAUG
rnacentral:rRNA from 1 species